rnacentral:piRNA from 1 species
UGGUGCUCUAAGAUAUAAAAAGAGAUA